rnacentral:lncRNA from 1 species
AGGCGGGGCGGGGAGGCGGAGGAGACGACCUCGCCGGCGAAGAGGAUUUUAAACUUUAAAGGCUUGGGCCGAUGUUGCAGACUUGCAGCAUGUAGAGCACUAAGAGCAGUAGAAGAGGAGCUCAGCUGCAAAAGAGGAUUGAGGAGGAGUGGAGCUGUGGAGGAGGAUGAUGAGGAUUUUAAAGAAAAGGAUGAUGGGCGAUGGCCGAUGGGAUUGGGACGGGAGUCACCAGUCACAGGAUGGCGUCGCGGCGAGACACCCUCAGUAGCUCAGGCGUCUUGUCGAGGUAGCCGUUGGCUCCUACGGCCCUGCCUCAGGCGUCUUGUAGAAGCUCUACGUACACUGUAGGCUGUAGCUAGGACAGGGGCGGCCCAAUGUAUUUGGGGGCCUAAGGCGAACUUACUAAGAGAGGCCUUUUUAAAAAUAAUAAUAAUAAUAAUAAUAAAUUUUUAAUAAGUGUAAAAUACUUUAAAAAUUUAUUUAAAAAUAAUCCGUCUAGCUUUUUGAGAUGCAAAAUUACUAAUCAAAUUUUUGUACUCAAGAUUUAUUAAAAUACUAUUUUCAAUCGAUAAUAUAGCUAAUCCAUUUAAUCUUUCUUGGGACAUAGUUGACCGCAAAUAAGAUUUUAUCAACUUUAAUUUUGAAAAACUUCUUUCAGCAGAAGCAACUGUUACAGGUAUUGUUAACAAUAUCCUGUAAGCAAUGCAUGCAUUUGGAAAAGAAUCUAUUUUUUAAUAAAACUUAAAGUAUCAAUAGGGGUACUAGUUUCUAUUUGUAAAACUUCUUUUAAAAUGUUUAACUCCGAAAACAGAUCAAGACCAUCAAUAUCAGAAUAUUCACCGUGCUUUAAAAAGUUUUCAAGAUUAAGGCAACACUUUUUCAAAUUCUCUUCAUUCAAAGAUUUUAACUUUCUAAAAUUAAACAAAAAACCAAAAACAUCUUCAUAUAUGGUGAAUUGUUCAAACCUAUUUUGAAUUGAAGAUGUUACGGGGGAACUUAGCCACCAUGCCCCACGUGACCGGCACGCGC